CACUGGAACUGAGACACGGUCCAGACUCCUACGGGAGGCAGCAGUGCUGAAUUAUUCGCCAAUGCGCGAAAGCGUGACGGUGCGACGCCGCGUGCGGGACGAAGGCUUUCGAGUCGUAAACCGCUGUCAGGGUCUAGGAAACCGCAGUCGUUAAUAGCGGCUGUGCUGACCAGGCCCAAAGGAAGCACAGGCUAAUCUCGUGCCAGCAGCCGCGGUAAUACGAGAUGUGCAAGCGUUGUUCGGAAUCACUGGGCAUAAAGGGUGCGCAGGCGGCUUAGUAAGUCAGGGGUGAAAUCCCUCGGCUCAACCGGGGAAUUGCUUUUGAUACUGCUAAGCUUGAGAGCGAAAGGGGCAAGUGGAAUUCCAGGUGUAGCGGUGGAAUGCGUAGAUAUCUGGGAGAACGCCGAUGGCGAAGGCAGCUUGCUGGGUCGCUUCUGACGCUCAGGCACGAAAGCUAGGGGAGCAAACAGGAUUAGAUACCCUGGUAGUCCUAGCUGUAAACGUUGGGUACUAGGUUCCGGGAUUUCUGAUGAUUUCGGGGCCGCAGUUAAUGCAUUAAGUACCCCGCCUGGGGAGUAUGGUCGCAAGGCUAAAACUCAAAGGAAUUGACGGGGGCUCACACAAGCGGUGGAGCAUGUUGUUCAAUUCGAAGCAACGCGAAGAACCUUACCUGGCCUUGACAUGCUAGAAGUACGAACCUGAAAGGGGGAGGACCGGUAUCCAGUCCGGAACUAGCACAGGUGCUGCAUGGCUGUCGUCAGCUCGUGUCGUGAGACGUUGGGUUAAGUCCCGUAACGAGCGAAACCCUUGUCGUCUGUUGCUACCAGGUAAUGCUGGGCACUCUGGCGAGACUGCCGGUGUUAAACCGGAGGAAGGUGGGGACGACGUCAAGUCAUCAUGGUCCUUACGGCCAGGGCUACAAACGUGCUACAAUGGCAGGUACAGAGAGAAGCGAUACCGCGAGGUGGAGCAAAUCUUCAAAACCUGCCCCAGUUCGGAUUGGAGGCUGCAAUUCGCCUCCAUGAAGUUGGAAUCGCUAGUAAUCGCGGAUCAGCAACGCCGCGGUGAUACGUUCCUGAGCCUUGUACACACCGCCCGUCAAGCCACCCAAGCUGGAAGCACCCGAAGUCCGGCGCC
rnacentral:rRNA from 1 species